rnacentral:rRNA from 1 species
CCUACGGGUGGCAGCAGUGAGGAAUAUUGGUCAAUGGUCGGGAGACUGAACCAGCCAAGCCGCGUGAGGGAUGAAGGUACAGAGUAUCGUAAACCUCUUUUGUCAGGGAACAAAGGCGGGGACGUGUCCCCGGAUGAGUGUACCUGAAGAAAAAGCAUCGGCUAACUCCGUGCCAGCAGCCGCGGUAAUACGUAGGGGGCAAGCGUUAUCCGGAUUUACUGGGUGUAAAGGGAGCGUAGACGGCAGAGCAAGUCUGAAGUGAAAGCCCGCGGCCCAACUGCGGGACUGCUUUGGAAACUGCCCGGCUAGAGUGCUGGAGAGGUAAGCGGAAUUCCUAGUGUAGCGGUGAAAUGCGUAGAUAUUAGGAGGAACACCAGUGGCGAAGGCGGCCUGCUGGGCUUUUACUGACGCUGAGGCUCGAAAGUGUGGGGAGCAAACAGGAUUAGAUACCCCUGUAGUC